rnacentral:rRNA from 1 species
UAGAGUUUGAUCCUGGCUCAGAAUGAACGCUGGCGGCGUGCUUAACACAUGCAAGUCGAACGAUGAAGCCUAGCUUGCUAGGUGGAUUAGUGGCGCACGGGUGAGUAAUAUAUAGAUAACGUGCCUCUUAGUCUGGGAUAGCCAUUGGAAACGAUGAUUAAUACUGGAUACUCCUUCUAACUCUAAUGUUAGUUGGGAAAGUUUUUCGCUAAGAGAUCGGUCUAUAUCCCAUCAGCUUGUUGGUAGUGUAAGAGACUACCAAGGCUAUGACGGGUAGCGGGUUUGAGAGGAUGAUCCGCCACACUGGUACUGAGACACGGACCAGACUCCUACGGGAGGCAGCAGUGAGGAAUAUUGCACAAUGGAGGAAACUCUGAUGCAGCAACGCCGCGUGGAGGAUGACGCAUUUCGGUGUGUAAACUCCUUUUAUGAGUCAAGAAAAUGACGGUAGCUCAUGAAUAAGCACCGGCUAACUCCGUGCCAGCAGCCGCGGUAACACGGGGGGCGCAAGCGUUAUUCGGAAUUAUUGGGCGUAAAGGGCGUGUAGGCGGUCUUAUCGGUCAGAUGUGAAAGCCCAGGGCUCAACCCUGGACGUGCAUUUGAAACAGCAAGACUUGAGUACGGGAGAGGAGAGCGGAAUUCCUGGUGUAGAGGUGAAAUUCGUAGAUAUCAGGAGGAACACCGAUGGCGAAGGCAGCUCUCUGGACCGAUACUGACGCUGAGGCGCGAAGGCGUGGGUAGCGAACAGGAUUAGAUACCCUGGUAGUCCACGCAGUAAACGUUGUACACUCGGUGUGGCGGAUAUUAAAAUCUGCUGUUGCCUAAGCUAACGCAGUAAGUGAACCGCCUGGGGAGUACGGUCGCAAGACUAAAACUCAAAGGAAUUGACGGGGGCCCGCACAAGCGGUGGAGCAUGUGGUUUAAUUCGACAACGCGAAGAACCUUACCUAGGUUUGACAUCCUGUGAAUAUUCUGUAAUGGAAUAGUGCCUUCGGCUUGCUAGAACUUUCAUACAGGUGCUGCACGGCUGUCGUCAGCUCGUGUCGUGAGAUGUUGGGUUAAGUCCCGCAACGAGCGCAACCCUCGUGUUUAGUUGCUAACAGUUCGGCUGAGAACUCUAAACAGACUGCCUGGGUAACCAGGAGGAAGGUGAGGACGACGUCAAGUCAUCAUGGCCCUUAUGUCCAGGGCUACACACGUGCUACAAUGGGGCAUACAAAGAGCAGCGAUACCGCGAGGUGGAGCAAAUCUGUUAAAAUGCCUCUCAGUUCGGAUAGCACUCUGCAACUCGAGUGCUUGAAGUUGGAAUCGCUAGUAAUCGUGGAUCAGCAAUGCCACGGUGAAUACGUUCCCGGGUCUUGUACUCACCGCCCGUCACACCAUGGGAAUUGAAUUCAUUCGAAGCGGGGAUGCUAAGAUAGCUACCUUCCACAGUGGAUUUAGUAAUCUAGGGUGAAGUCGUAAGCAAGGUAACC